GCCGGGCACUCAGCUGGGCCGCCUCUCUGUGUUGCAGGUGACGGAGCGAGGCCACGAGGACGCGGCUCCUCCCCGGGACCGUGGGGGACAUCCCCACCCUCCGUCCCAGUGAUCCCCGUGGAUCCCAGUGAUCCCCACCAUCCAUCCCAGUCACUCCCAGUGGAUCCCAGUGGUCCCUGUGGAUCCCCACCCUCCAUCCCAGUGGAUCCCAAUGGUGCCUGUGGAUCCCCACCACCCAUCCCACUCACUCUCAUCGAUCCCAGUGAUCCCAGUGGAUCCCAGUGGAUCCCCACCAUCCAUCCCAAUCAAUCCCAGCGGAUCCCGGCUGCUGCUGGGGUGGGGCAAGGUCGGUUUUCGCUCUGCACGUGAAGCUUAUUGAAAGGCGGGGAA
rnacentral:lncRNA from 1 species